GAGUACUCGACGUGUCAAAAGAGAAUCCUAGAGAGUUGGUGAAUACGUAUAGACUCGCCGAGUCGCCCUAGUGCACUCGCCGAGUCCGGUCAAAGUUGACCGUUGACCGUUGACCAGAGUUGACUUGAUAGGGGUAGUCAGCCUUAGUGGUAAAAGUGUUAAUUAAGAGAUAUAUGAUGUUAUAGGAGGAUUAUAGCUCGGAGGAUCGAGCACGAGUGAUUUCCAGGAUUCGCGAGUUAUCGAGAUACACGAGGUGAGUCUUCUCACUAUACUUUACCUUGAGUAGGUAAUCAGAGUUAUGUGUCAGAGUAUGUGUAUGUUAUGUGUAUGCUAUGUGUUGUACUGCAUGAUGUCUAUGUGAUUUAUGUUGUGCAUGUUUAUAGAGUUGGAACCGGAAGGUUCCCAGAGUUAGAACCUGAGGGUUCACAGAGCUUGGGUGCACGGACCCAUAGAGUUAUAGCCUCGAGUGGCUAAUAUGUGUUUAUGUGGUAUUUUGGGGAACUCACUAAGCUUUGUGCUUACAGUGUUAGUGUUGUUUGUUUCAGGUACUAGUGAUGACCGUGGGAAGGCGCCGACUUGAUCUGUACACACGCAAGGGAUUUUUAUAAUAUGUGAUCUUGGGAUUUUGUAUGAUAUGGAUUGGAGUUUUAAACUUGAUGUUUUAUGAAAAUUAAAUGAAAAAGUUUUUAUAUUAUGCGAAAAAUUAUUUUGAAAUUCACGGUGUUACAAUUUGGUAUCAGAGCCUUGGUUUGAGGGAUUCGAGUACACCUUCGGGCGUAUUAGAACUCAAACUGAGGAUUUGAGAAGUAUUUUCAAAAAGUGUAAAAGAUUUUGGAAAGAAACGCUGAGCAGAGUUGUAUGUACGAUCAGUCCGCGCCCGAACGCUGAUUUCCCAAAAUACCCUCAUGUUAUGUGCUAUUGAUAUUGAUAUGAUGUAUUCGCAUGCUAGAGUAGGCUAGGUAUUCCUAUUAGGACUAGAGUGGCCUGAUUUGUGAUGCCUUAGCCUAGGAAGAGGUGAGCUGCUAUGAGAUGCUUGAGAGUGAGUAGGUAGCAGCGAGGGGCUUAUGAGAGAUCUAUUAGAGAGUGGCCUAUGCAUGAUAGAGUACUUGGAAUUUGGGAUCCGAAGAGGAGGACUUGGGGUGUAUUCUGAUACGGUGCGGACAGUAGUAUUGGGCCCGUACUACUGAAAGCACCGGAGCGGUGUACAGCCCAAGUAAGAAUCUUUGGAAUACCAAGGAUCAAGGAGGAAUGAGUUGUCGAGUGUGAGUAUGCUCGAAUGGGUUCUAAUUUAUCGUAUGUUGUAUUUCAGAGGUAGAUCAUGGUGAGGACACGUUUGAUGCCUGAGAGCAGUGAUACCAGUGAUGAGGAGAUCCGCCGGAUCAUCCACGAGGAGGUGGCUGCGGCCAUCAGGGCAGAGAUACCAGAGAUGUUCGGGUCUAUUAAGACCACGCUGAUUGAGACCUUUGACGAGCGUUAUGCCGCUCUUUCUGAGGCUGCUGUUGCAGCGGCCACCGCAGCUAUUGCUGCCGCGAGGCCGCAAGGUGGUGAUGCGUUGCUGUUCCGGGAGUUCAGCAACACAAAACCACCAGAGUUUGAUGGGACCCAGGAUCCGGUGGCAGCUAUGAGGUGGAUUUCUGAUAUAGAGGGGUGUUUCUUCACUUGCUCAUCUCCUGAGCAUUUGAAGGUUCGGUUCGCGCUGAACCAGCUUCGCUUGGGAGCGAAGGACUGGUGGAAGUUUGUGACGGCGCAUUUUACGCCUGCUGAGCUUGCGGCAGUGACCUGGGAGAGGUUCACUGCCAUGUUCCGAGAUGAGUACGUUCCCCAGGUGGAGAGGGAGCGUUUGGCCCAGGAGUUUCUGACCCUCAAGCAGGGUACUGAGUCUGUUACGGUGAUUACCAGGAUGUUCCAUGAGAGGGCGAUGUUCUGCCCUGAGCACGUGUCCACUGAGCAGGCACGUAUGAGCCGAUAUUUGAGUAUUUUGAGGCGAGACAUUCGGGAGUUCGCGGCGAACUCCUCGUACCGGACAUUUGCUGAGCUUCAAGCAAAUGCCCGGAAGAGGGAGAUUGAGCUAGAGACUCAGGCCAGGGAGGAGGCGGAGUCUCAGGGGAGGGAUCGGCGACCGGCACAGUCUCAGCCGGCAGCCAAGCGGGCCAAGCCCGCUGAUCCCAAACCAGGGAGCCAGAAGGGCCGCACUUGUGGGAAGUGUGGCAAGGGUCAUGAUGGAGUCUGCAGAGCGGGAUCUUGCUACAAGUGUGGCAAGGAGGGGCAUAUGGCCAAGGACUGCCCCAAGGGGUUUGCGGUGUGUUUUCACUGCAACCAGACCGGACACCGGAAGGCAGAGUGUCCGCAGUUGCGAGGAUCAGCUCAGGGAGCACCUCAGGGAUCUGCCCCUGCCGCCAUCAGAGCUACCGAGAGUCGGCCAGUGAAGGCCGAGGCGCCGAGGGCACGAGGGAGAGCCUUUCAGUUGACCGCGGAGGAGGUCCGCGCAGCGCCCGAUGUCGUGGCUGGUAUGUAUUCUUUCAUGUAUUUAUUUUGAUGUUGAGAUAUUAUGCUUAUAUUAUGUUAUGCGUAGGUACUUUUCUUGUGAAUUCUGUACCUGCCUUGGUGUUAUUUGACUCGGGUGCGAGUCGGUCUUUUGUAUCUUUGGCUUUUAGUCAGCAUAUCAGUGUUAGUCGUGAGGCGUUGAGUCGGCCUCUGAGAGUUUCCAUAGCUGAUGAGAGGGUGAUAUAUGCCACGGAGGUUCUCCGAGGUUGCGUAGUCGAGAUUUUCGGUGUUGAGUUCCCGAUUGAUCUGGUUCCUAUUGCGAUGGGUGAUGUCUGUGUCAUUGUGGGCAUGGACUGGUUGAGCAGAUUCGGUGCGGUUAUCGACUGCGAGCGACAGCUGGUGACCAUACGAGACCCUAGUGGGGGAGUUCUUACGGUGUACGGCGAGGGUACACGUUCUGGAUCAGCGUUUUGUUCGGCCGCUAGGGCGAGGCAGUGUCUACAGCAGGGCUGUAAGGGUUUUGUGGCGUAUGUGAUGGAUACGCGGGUGGAUUCCGAGAGACCGAGGUCAGUUGAGGAGGUUCCGGUAGUGCGUGAGUUCCCGGAUGUAUUUCCUGAGGAGUUGCCGGGUGUGCCUCCUGUGAGGCAAGUGGAGUUCAGUAUCGAUUUGGUUCCGGGGGCCGCGCCUAUCGCUAAGGUGCCUUAUCGCCUUGCACCUCCAGAGAUGCAAGAGUUAUCCUCGCAGCUUCAGGAGCUGCUGGGGAAGGGGUUUAUUCGGCCGAGCAGCUCGCCGUGGGGAGCGCCUAUCCUGUUUGUCAAGAAGAAGGAUGGUUCACACCGGAUGUGCAUUGAUUACCGGGAGUUGAACAAGCUGACGGUCAAGAACCGUUACCCGUUGCCGAGGAUCGACGAUUUAUUCGAUCAGUUGCAGGGAGCAUCUUGGUUCUCCAAGAUCGAUUUGAGGUCUGGAUAUCAUCAGGUGAGGGUGCGGGAUGAGGACGUCCAGAAGACAGCGUUCAGGACGCGUUAUGGGCAUUAUGAGUUUGUGGUGAUGCCUUUUGGGCUCACCAAUGCCCCGGCAGUGUUCAUGGAUCUCAUGAACCGAGUGUGUAGGCCGAUGCUGGAUCGGUCGGUGAUUGUAUUUAUCGACGACAUUCUGGUAUAUUCGAGAUCUAGAGAGCAGCAUGAGGAGCAUUUGAGAGAGGUUCUCGGAGUUCUGAGAUCGGAGAGGCUUUAUGCCAAAUUCUCCAAGUGUGAUUUCUGGUUGCGGGAGGUCCAGUUCUUAGGACAUCUCGUUAACCAGGAAGGGAUAUUGGUCGAUCCGGCCAAGGUUGAGGCGGUGAUGAGUUGGGAGGUGCCGAGGUCACCCUCCGAGAUCAGGAGUUUCCUAGGGUUGGCAGGGUAUUAUCGGAGAUUUAUCAAGGAUUUCUCUAAGAUCGCAGUGCCACUCACCAGGUUGACCCGGAAGGGUGUUGCUUUUUCAUGGGGCCCCGAGCAGCAGGCCUCCUUUGAGACACUUCGCCAAAGGUUGUGCGAAGCCCCGGUGUUAGCCCUCCCGGAAGGGAUGGAGGACUUUGUGGUAUACUGUGAUGCAUCGAUUUUGGGGUUGGGAGCGGUGCUGAUGCAGAGAGGGCAUGUGAUAGCAUAUGCAUCGAGGCAGCUGAAGCCUCAUGAGACGAGAUAUCCCACCCAUGAUCUAGAGUUGGGGGCAGUGGUGUUCGCCCUCAAGAUUUGGCGUCACUACUUGUAUGGGGUUCGGUGUACGAUAUACACGGACCAUAAGAGUUUGAAGUAUUUGAUGGAUCAGCCCAACCUAAAUAUGCGUCAGAGAAGGUGGUUGGAUGUGGUCAAGGAUUAUGAUUGUGAGAUCCUGUACCACCCAGGCAAGGCUAAUGUGGUAGCCGAUGCAUUGAGCCGCAGGGCGGAGAGCACCCCGCUGCGGGAGGUAUGUUUGAGAUUGACCGUGAUAGCUCCAGUGUUGGACGCCAUUCGUGGGGCACAGGCCGAGGCUGUGCAACCUGAGAUGCAGAAGAGGGAACGGGUUGUUGGUUUGGUUUCAGAGUUCGUUACCGAUGGUCGGGGGCUUAUGACAUUUCAGGGGCGUAUCUGGGUGCCGUUUGUGGGAGGAACGCGUACCAUUUUGAUGGAGGAGGCUCAUCGGUCGAAAUUUUCGAUCCAUCCGGGGGCCACUAAGAUGUAUUUGGAUUUGAGAAAGGAGUAUUGGUGGCCCUGUAUGAAGAGGGAUGUCGCGUGGUUUGUUGAGAGGUGCUUGACCUGUCGUAGGGUUAAGGCCGAGCACCAGAGGCCGCAUGGUAAGUUGCAGCCAUUGGAGGUUCCCGAAUGGAAGUGGGAACAGAUCACUAUGGAUUUCAUCACCAAAUUGCCAAGGACUGCCAGAGGAGUUGAUGCAAUUUGGGUGAUUGUGGACAGGUUGACGAAGAGCGCUCACUUCCUUGCUAUCAGCGAGAGUUCUUCAGCAGAGAAAUUGGCGGAGGUGUAUGUGAGGGAAGUGGUAUCUCGGCAUGGGGUGCCGAUCUCGAUUGUUUCAGACCGUGAUGUGCGCUUCACUUCCAGAUUCUGGAAGAAGUUUCAUGAGGAGUUGGGUACUAGACUGCAUUUUAGUACCGCAUAUCAUCCCCAGACAGACGGUCAGAGUGAGCGGACGAUUCAGACGCUCGAGGACAUGCUCCGGGCAUGUGUGUUGGAUUUCGGGGGUAGCUGGGAUGCAUAUUUGCCCUUGGCAGAGUUUUCCUACAACAACAGCCAUCAUUCGAGCAUUGGUAUGCCACCCUUUGAGCUGUUGUAUGGGAGGAGGUGUCGGACCCCCAUUUGUUGGGGAGAGGUUGGACAGCGGGUGAUGGGCAGUACAGAGAUCGUGCUUCAGACGACAGAGCAGAUUCAGCAGGUCAGACAGAGGUUGUUGACCGCUCAGAGCCGACAGAAGAGUUAUGCAGACAGACGCCGGUCCGAGCUUGAGUUUCAGGUCGGCGACCUUGUUCUCCUGAAGGUCUCUCCUUGGAAAGGAGUGAUUCGAUUCAGGAAGAGGGGCAAGUUGGGGCCCCGAUAUAUUGGGCCAUUCCGUGUGAUCGCGAGGGUAGGCCGGGUAGCCUAUCGUUUGGAUUUGCCAGCAGAGUUGGGGCAGAUUCACGACACUUUUCAUGUGUCGCAGCUGAGGAAGUGUAUAGCCGAUGAGUCGGCAGUGGUUCCAUUAGAGGAUAUUCAGGUGGAUGCGAGCCUGAAUUAUGCUGAGAGACCAGUGGCCAUCAGAGAUCGGAAAAUCAAGGUUCUGAGGAACAAGGAGGUACCCCUGGUGUUGGUUCAGUGGCAGCAUCGGAAGGGAUCAGAGAUGACCUGGGAGCCGGAGCGUGAGAUGCGUGAGCAGCAUCCGGAGCUAUUUGCAGAGCGAGACUUCGAGGGCGAAGUCUAGUUCUAGUGGGGGAGAAUUGUAACAGCCCGGAUUUCCAGGUAUCUUUUAUGCUUAUAUUUUUGGAGUUUUGUGAGGGGACUCGGCGAGUUGGAGCUCAAACUCGCCGAGUAGGAUCGCGGUUCAGGACGCGGGUUCGCGCCUGGACUCGGCGAGUCCAAGGUAUGGACUCGGCGAGUCCGCGCUGUUUAAUGAAACCCUAAUUUCUCGGGUUUGGGACCUAUUUAAAGGGCCUUAAGGCCGUCAUUUGUGCUCACCAGUCCCCUGAGUGAAACCCUAGCGAGUUUGAGCGUUUGGAGCAAAGCAAGGAGCCAUUAUUGACCUUGGAGGUGUUAUAUUGCAAGGGAAAGGAAGCAAUAGCUAAGGGGAAUCAAGAGGAGCCACUUCCUGAAGAUUUGAGGUCCAGAACAUCACAUUUGAGGUACUACCUUCGAGCUAUUCUCUGUUAUGUUGAUGUUUAUAUUGAUUUAGGGCUUAUUGAGCCCUUUUGUGGCUAGAUCUAGUGCUUCCUUGGUCCCUUAAGCGAGUUAGGUUCUAGAUCUGGACCUUUGGAGGUCCAGAGUGUCCCUUUGCCCAAGCUUUUUAUGAAUCCAUGGGGGUUUUGGAUUGGGGUCUUUGUGCUUAAGGUCAAAACACCAUUUAUGAGUCAUGGGGUGUGUUAUGAGCACCAAGAUAUGGACUUUACGUGAUGAAUAAGCUUAGGAGGGCCAGAUCUAUGAGUUGUUGGAGCGGAUCUGACCUCAGAAGCAAGUUUGAGUUGAUGCAUGGCAUGGACUCGCCGAGUCUGAAGAACAGACUCGGCGAGUAGCAUGAAGAUUGUCCUUAACCACUCAGUGAGUGGUCCAGCCGAGUUAUGAGUUGACUCAGUGAGUCAGGGAGAGUUAGAGAGGGUUGACAGGUGGACUGAGUCGAACUGGAACUCGCCGAGUUGUUCUUGAGACUCGGCGAGUUGAGUCGGGGUGGCCCCGCGAUUCAUACCAGGUGGAACUCAUCGAGUCAGGGGAAUACUCGACGUGUCAAAAAGGGAAUCCUAGAGAGUUGGUGAAAACGCUUAGACUCGCCGAGUCGCCCUAGUGCACUCGCCGAGUCCGGUCAAAGUUGACCGUUGACCGUUGACCAGAGUUGACCAGUGUUGACUUGAUAGGGGUAGUCAACCUUAGUGGUAAAAGUGUUAAUUAGAGACAUAUGAUGUUAUAGGAGGAUUAUAGCUCGGAGGAUCGAGCACGAGUGAUUUCCAGGAUUCGCAAGUUAUCGAGAUACACGAGGUGAGUCUUCUCACUAUACUUUACCUUGAGUAGGUAAUCAGAGUUAUGUGUCAGAGUAUGUGUAUGUUAUGUGUAUGCUAUGUGUUGUACUGCAUGAUGUCUAUGUGAUUUAUGUUGUGCAUGUUUAUAUAGUUGGAACCGGAAGGUUCCCAGAGUUAGAACCUGCGGGUUCACAGAGCUUGGGUGCACGGACCCAUAGAGUUAUAGCCUCGAGUGGCUAAUAUAUGUUUAUGUGGUAUUUUGGGGAACUCACUAAGCUUUGUGCUUACAGUGUUAGUGUUGUUGUUUCAGGUACUAGCGAUGACCGUGGGAAGGCGCCGGCUUGAUCUGUACACACGCAUGGGAUUUUUGAUAUAUAUAUGAUCUUGGGAUUUUGUAUGAUGUG
rnacentral:lncRNA from 1 species